rnacentral:rRNA from 1 species
UACGUAGGGGGCAAGCGUUGUCCGGAAUCAUUGGGCGUAAAGAGCGUGUAGGCGGCCCGGUAAGUCCGCUGUGAAAGUCCAGGGCUCAACCCUGGGAUGCCGGUGGAUACUGUCGGGCUCGAGUCCGGAAGAGGAGUGUGGAAUUCCUGGUGUAGCGGUGAAAUGCGCAGAUAUCAGGAGGAACACCCGUGGCGAGGGCGGCUCUCUGGGACGGUACUGACGCUGAGACGCGAAAGCGUGGGGAGCGAACAGG